rnacentral:rRNA from 1 species
UACGAAGGGGGCGAGCGUUGUUCGGAUUUACUGGGCGUAAAGGGCGCGCAGGCGGCCAUUCAAGUCAGGCGUGAAAGCCCCGGGCUUAACCUGGGAGGUGCGUCUGGGACUGGGUGGCUAGAGAUCGGGAGAGGAGAGUGGAAUUCCCAGUGUAGAGGUGAAAUUCGUAGAUAUUGGGAAGAACACCGGUGGCGAAGGCGGCAUCCUGGACCGGCAUUGACGCUGAGGCGCGAAAGCCAGGGGAGCAAACGGG